rnacentral:lncRNA from 1 species
UUUAUACAAAUUAGUUUAUUUUGCCUUUUAAUAUAAUUCCCAAAUUUAACUUGAAGAUGAGCAUAGAAGCUGUUGUGACAUAAAAGGAGUCACUUGGCAGUGUCCUCCUGAGUCCUCCAAGGCCAGCACCCAGCCUCCCGCCUGCAAGGACUGCCCCAGGCAGGCCCUGCUGCCCAGAACAUAUACAGGAAGACAACACUGCAGAAAGCGAGGGGUGAGGAUUUGUGCAAGAAUACAAACAUUUAGUUAAAAAAAAAAGAAAACAGACUGGCUAUUUACCUAGAAUACUUCCUAUAUCAAUAUAAUGUAGUUGAAACCAGAAUUGUUCCCAGCAAUCAACACUCCUGGCUGCUGCUAGACAGCUGUCAGCAUGACUACAAGUAGCACCUGAGGCUACCUGGGGUAAGAAGUGGGCCCAAGCAUAAGUGAAAGUAAGCAGUGGGCAAGGCUGGAGGUCAAACAUGGCACAGGAAUGAAGAGCAAUUUAGGAGGUUCACAUUUACAUAAAUACACACAAGGGAGUCAUGACACAAAAGAACUUGUUAUACAAAAUAGAUGUACAUAAUCUAGAAAAACCUUGAUAAAAAUAGCAUAUAAAAAUAUAAACUGUAGUGAAAAUAUACAAAAGUAUUAACAGAUGUUCAACCCAUAAAAAACCAAAAACCCAUCGAUGUGAAGGCUGGCAGUUCCCACCUGGUGUGAUGAGGGUAGCUCCUCUUGGCCAUGGUGUGUGCAUUUGGGCAAGCAGGCUGGAGGCUGCCCCAGCCCCCCGGCCUGCAGCCUCAGCCCCUGGGGCCCAUCCUGUGGGGGUCCCACGCUGGGGGUUGAGGCAUUACCUGUCAGAAGCACACUCCCCACAGGGGCAGGUGGAGGUGGCACUGGAGAGCACAGAGCAGCUCUUUCCUCAACAGCACAAGGAGAGGGGAAAUGUUGGCUCAAAACAGUGGGACGAGAGCCUGCAGUUGUGGAGGAAAGAGUUGGCUCCAUCCUGUCCCCAGUCUGGAAUCAAGCCAAGCAUUCCCUCUUCUGCCUUCUGGACACCCAGCACAUUAUUCCAGAGAGGAGGACCUCCAAGAAAGCGUUCCCAGUUCACUUCCUCCACCAUCUCUCUGCUCUCACACCCACUGCCCAGCCACUGAGAACAACUGCCUGGAAG